rnacentral:rRNA from 1 species
UACGUAGGUGGCAAGCGUUGUCCGGAUUUACUGGGCGUAAAGAGCGCGCAGGCGGUCGUUCAAGUCGCGUGUGAAAGCCCCCGGCUCAACUGGGGAGGGUCACGCGAUACUGAUCGACUCGAAGGCAGGAGAGGGUAGUGGAAUUCCCGGUGUAGUGGUGAAAUGCGUAGAUAUCGGGAGGAACACCAGUGGCGAAGGCGGCUUCCUGGCCUGUUCUUGACGCUGAGGCGCGAAGGUCAGGGGAGCAAACGGG